rnacentral:rRNA from 1 species
GACGAACGCUGGCGGCGUGCCUAAUACAUGCAAGUUGAGCGCUGAAGGUUGGUACUUGUACCAACUGGAUGAGCAGCGAACGGGUGAGUAACGCGUGGGGAAUCUGCCUUUGAGCGGGGGACAACAUUUGGAAACGAAUGCUAAUACCGCAUAAAAACUUUAAACACAAGUUUUAAGUUUGAAAGAUGCAAUUGCAUCACUCAAAGAUGAUCCCGCGUUGUAUUAGCUAGUUGGUGAGGUAAAGGCUCACCAAGGCGAUGAUACAUAGCCGACCUGAGAGGGUGAUCGGCCACAUUGGGACUGAGACACGGCCCAAACUCCUACGGGAGGCAGCAGUAGGGAAUCUUCGGCAAUGGACGAAAGUCUGACCGAGCAACGCCGCGUGAGUGAAGAAGGUUUUCGGAUCGUAAAACUCUGUUGGUAGAGAAGAACGUUGGUGAGAGUGGAAAGCUCAUCAAGUGACGGUAACUACCCAGAAAGGGACGACUAACUACGUG